AGUUUGACUGGGGCGGUCUCCUCCCAAAGAGUAACGGAGGAGCACGAAGGUGGGCUAAUCACGGUUGGACAUCGUGAGGUUAGUGCAAUGGCAUAAGCCCGCUUAACUGCGAGAAUGACGGUUCGAGCAGGUGCGAAAGCAGGUCAUAGUGAUCCGGUGGUUCUGUAUGGAAGGGCCAUCGCUCAACGGAUAAAAGGUACUCCGGGGAUAACAGGCUGAUACCGCCCAAGAGUUCAUAUCGACGGCGGUGUUUGGCACCUCGAUGUCGGCUCAUCACAUCCUGGGGCUGAAGUCGGUCCCAAGGGUAUGGCUGUUCGCCAUUUAAAGUGGUACGCGAGCUGGGUUUAGAACGUCGUGAGACAGUUCGGUCCCUAUCUGCCGUGGGCGUUGGAAGAUUGAAGGGGGCUGCUCCUAGUACGAGAGGACCGGAGUGGACGAACCUCUGGUGUUCGGGUUGUGUCGCCAGACGCAUUGCCCGGUAGCUAAGUUCGGAAUUGAUAAGCGCUGAAAGCAUCUAAGCGCGAAGCGAGCCCUGAGAUGAGUCUUCCCUGACAGUUUAACUGUCCUAAAGGGUUGUUCGAGACUAGAACGUUGAUAGGCAGGGUGUGUAAGCGUUGUGAGGCGUUGAGCUAACCUGUACUAAUUGCCCGUGAGGCUUAACCAUACAACACCCAAGGGGUUUUGUA
rnacentral:rRNA from 1 species